rfam:Clostridium sp. CAG:921 genomic scaffold, scf180
UCCUUCGUGAGGAGGAAUCUGAAGGAAGUUGUAAGCAAAGUCUUGUUCUAAAU